ensembl:lncRNA
GCCUGCACUGAGCCUAAAAAUUCAAGAUUUGAUAAGAUUACUGCACUGUUGAUACAAUUGCAGAUUUUUAAAAGCCUCCUCAAAGAGACAGAUGUUUGGGCUGAUUAAGAAUUGAGGAGGAAACCUGCAGCUGCAACAAGGAAUAAUCUAUUGGACAAAAAUUAAAAUAUUUUAAUAAAAAAUAUGAAGAGAUCAGCCCGACCUUGCAAGGGGAUUGCAGUGGCAACGCUAGGCUAGGUCUUGGAGGCUGGUGUAUGGCGAAGCGGUUGAAGGCAGGAGGCUGAUGGAGAGACUGGGGGGAAGAAAAGCCGAAAUGGAUUCACGGUGCCUUGGAUGGAGGACGAGAGGGGAAUUGCAAGCUCCUUCAACUGUUCUGUCCGGUGAGAAGUGAUCAAGCUUGGGCUGACAAGAGGCUCAGGGAGCCCUCACGUUCUUUCGCUUUUUUACCUGCCAAUCAAACUGCUACAAGACAACACCCUGAUCUGGCAUGGACAUCGCGGGUCCAAGCCUGUAGACCCAAAUCGGAUAAUCUCUGCAGCUGAUAACAAGCAAAAGAGAAGCCAGGCAACAGCCAUAUUAACGAAGAAAACAAUCAACUCUGAGGUAAUCCGUGUUUUGAACGCAACAGCUGAGAAAGUACAACAAAAAGAGUUGGGCUGGCUUGUGCAUGGCUCCACAGUGACUUCAUUUAUCUGGCCAGGUCUGAGUGAAUCGAACAGAGCAAAAUGUGCCUCUAACUGCCUGGGCUUCUUGUUCAGGCCCCUAGCUCAUUUGAACAGCUAA